rnacentral:rRNA from 1 species
UACGUAGGGUGCGAGCGUUAAUCGGAAUUACUGGGCGUAAAGCGUGCGCAGGCGGUUUUGUAAGUCAGAUGUGAAAUCCCCGGGCUUAACCUGGGAACUGCAUUUGUGACUGGCGGGCUAGAGUAUGGCAGAGGGGGGGUAGAUUCCACGUGUAGCAGUGAAAUGCGUAGAGAUGUGGAGGAAUACCGAUGGCGAAGGCAGCCCCCUGGGCCAAUACUGACGCUCAUGCACGAAAGCGUGGGGAGCAAACAGG